GAUGAACGCUGGCGGCGUGCCUAAUACAUGCAAGUCGAGCGGACCAAAGAGAGCUUGCUCUCUGAAGUUAGCGGCGGACGGGUGAGUAACACGUGGGUAACCUGCCUGUAAGACGGGGAUAACUUCGGGAAACCGAAGCUAAUACCGGAUGAUAAAGAGAAACGCCUGUUUCUUUUUUGAAAGUCGGCCUUGUGCUGACGCUUACAGAUGGGCCCGCGGCGCAUUAGCUAGUUGGUGAGGUAACGGCUCACCAAGGCGACGAUGCGUAGCCGCCCUGAGAGGGUGAUCGGCCAAACUGGGACUGAGACACGGCCCAGACUCCUACGGGAGGCAGCAGUAGGGAAUCUUCGGCAAUGGACGAAAGUCUGACCGAGCAACGCCGCGUGAGCGAUGAAGGCCUUCGGGUCGUAAAGCUCUGUUGUCAGAGAAGAACAAGUACCGGAGUAACUGCCGGUACCUUGACGGUACCUGACCAGAAAGCCACGGCUAACUACGUGCCAGCCGCCGCCGUAA
rnacentral:rRNA from 1 species